AGCGAACGCUGGCGGCAGGCUUAACACAUGCAAGUCGAGCGGGCAUCUUCGGAUGUCAGCGGCAGACGGGUGAGUAACACGUGGGAACGUACCCUUCGGUUCGGAACAACUCUGGGAAACUGGAGCUAAUACCGGAUACGCCCUUAUGGGGAAAGGUUUACUGCCGAAGGAUCGGCCCGCGUCUGAUUAGCUAGUUGGUGGGGUAACGGCCUACCAAGGCGACGAUCAGUAGCUGGUCUGAGAGGAUGAUCAGCCACACUGGGACUGAGACACGGCCCAGACUCCUACGGGAGGCAGCAGUGGGGAAUAUUGGACAAUGGGCGCAAGCCUGAUCCAGCCAUGCCGCGUGAGUGAUGAAGGCCUUAGGGUUGUAAAGCUCUUUUGUCCGGGACAAUAAUGACGGUACCGGAAGAAUAAGCCCCGGCUAACUUCGUG
rnacentral:rRNA from 1 species